rnacentral:rRNA from 1 species
GAUGAACGCUAGCGGCAGGCCUAAUACAUGCAAGUCGAGGGGCAUCACAGGUAGCAAUACUGGGUGGCGACCGGCGCACGGGUGCGUAACACGUAUGUAAUCUGCCCGAUAACUGGGGGAUAGCCCGGAGAAAUCCGGAUUAAUACCCCAUAGUACUAUUGGUUGGCAUCAAUUGAUAGUUAAAGCUCCGGCGGUUAUGGAUGAACAUGCGACUGA